rnacentral:rRNA from 1 species
CGGCGGACGGGUGAGUAACACGUGGGUAACCUACCUAUAAGACUGGGACAACUUCGGGAAACCGGAGCUAAUACCGGAUAAGAUAUCGAACCGCAUGGUUCGAUAGUGAAAGANGGUUUUGCUAUCACUUAUAGAUGGACCCGCGCCGUAUUAGCUAGUUGGUGAGGUAACGGCUCACCAAGGCAACGAUACGUAGCCGACCUGAGAGGGUGAUCGGCCACACUGGAACUGAGACACGGUCCAGACUCCUACGGGAGGCAGCAGC